rnacentral:rRNA from 1 species
GACGAACGCUGGCGGCGUGCCUAAUACAUGCAAGUUGAGCGCUGAAGGUUGGUACUUGUACCAACUGGAUGAGCAGCGAACGGGUGAGUAACGCGUGGGGAAUCUGCCUUUGAGCGGGGGACAACAUUUGGAAACGAAUGCUAAUACCGCAUAAAAACUUUAAACACAAGUUUUAAGUUUGAAAGAUGCAAUUGCAUCACUCAAAGAUGAUCCCGCGUUGUAUUAGCUAGUUGGUGAGGUAAAGGCUCACCAAGGCGAUGAUACAUAGCCGACCUGAGAGGGUGGUCGGCCACAUUGGGACUGGGACACGGCCCAAACUCCUACGGGAGGCAGCAGUAGGGAAUCUUCGGCAAUGGACGGAAGUCUGACCGAGCAACGCCGCGUGAGUGAAGAAGGUUUUCGGAUCGUAAAACUCUGUUGGUAGAGAAGAACGUUGGUGAGAGUGGAAAGCUCAUCAAGUGACGGUAACUACCCAGAAAGGGACGGCUAACUACGUG